rnacentral:tRNA from 2 species
CGAGGCGUAGCGCAGCCCGGUAGCGCACCUGCUUUGGGAGCAGGGGGUCAGCGGUUCAAAUCCGCUCGCCUCGA